rnacentral:rRNA from 1 species
GACGAACGCUGGCGGCGUGCCUAAUACAUGCAAGUUGAGCGCUGAAGGUUGGUACUUGUCCCAACUGGAUGAGCAGCGAACGGGUGAGUAACGCGUGGGGAAUCUGCCUUUGAGCGGGGGACAACAUUUGGAAACGAAUGCUAAUACCGCAUAAAAACUUUAAACACAAGUUUUAAGUUUGAAAGAUGCAAUUGCAUCACUCAAAGAUGAUCCCGCGUUGUAUUAGCUAGUUGGUGAGGUAAAGGCUCACCAAGGCGAUGAUACAUAGCCGACCUGAGAGGGUGGUCGGCCAAACUGGGACGGAGACACGGCCCAAACGCCUACGGGAGGCAGCAGUAGGGAAUCUUCGGCAAUGGACGAAAGUCUGACCGAGCAACGCCGCGUGAGUGAAGAAGGUUUUCGGAUCGGAAAACUCUGUUGGUAGAGAAGAACGUUGGUGAGAGUGGAAAGCUCAUCAAGUGACGGUAACUACCCAGAAAGGGACGGCUAACUACGUG